UUAAAUAAUGAACUAAAUAUUUACAGUAUGGAAGUCAGUGGUAUCAGUAUGUGAUGCAUGAGUGGAAAAUGUGUGUGUGUGUGAGAGUGUUGCAAGGUGCAUGGAAGCAAAGUAAAUAACUAAGGCAGCAUAACUAAACCAAACCAGAACAGGUGCUCAAAGGGAGAAGCAGAAAGCUGCAAGCAGCAGCAAGUAGUAAGAGGAGAGAGAGAGACUGCUGCAGCUGCAGCCCGGACUUUAAUAACCUGGCAACCCUGUGGGCCCUCAGGUGUCGCCGGUUGCCCUAACGAGCACCUGCAGAGACAAAGCAGACAGGGUGCCUGAAUGUGAUUAAGGGGAAUUAAACUCAAGCCUGCUGAUGCAAAUCAUGGCCGGAGGAAGCCAUUGAGAAUGCAGGUCAGGGACGUGGAGAAAACCAAGCCAAGCUGCCAUCAGUCUAGAUACUGGAGAUGGCUGGACAGCCGCCAAGUGGAGAAUUAUGUUAAUGUUUGUUCUAAUAAUAAAAUGCAGUUGAAUACAUUAAUAUGUCAAUAGAUGGACAUGUUUUUUCGCCAUGUCUUGUUUGGAAGGGCAAAGCAGAUAGGCCAUUCAAGCUUUCAAGCUAUUAUAUGUGUUUUUUGUACACCUGUUUUUGAGUUAACAUAUUAAAUAUAUGUAUAUAUUUUG